UGGGGGAUAUUGCACAAUGGGGGCAACCCUGAUGCAGCGACGCCGCGUGAGCGAUGGAGUACUUCGGUAUGUAAAGCUCUGUCAGCAGGGAAGAGAAUGACGGUACCUGACCAAGAAGCCCCGGCUAAAUACGUGCCAGCAGCCGCGGUAAUACGUAUGGGGCAAGCGUUAUCCGGAUUUACUGGGUGUAAAGGGAGCGUAGGCGGCAGGGCAAGCCUGAUGUGAAAGCCCGGGGCUCAACCCCGGGACUGCAUUGGGAACUGCCCCGCUCGAGUGCCGGAGGGGCAGGCGGAAUUCCUAGUG
rnacentral:rRNA from 1 species